UUCGACUUUUCUCCGGCCUGGGCAACAGCCUCUGCGAGCCAACCAGAUUUUCUCCAAGAUGGAGACUCAGCCCAGCCAACAUUCUACCACAGAAGCGACUGACCUGGCCUGGGGCUCCACCAGCCCUACCACUGGGUGUAAAAUUCCAUGCUGCCUCCCUCUAGUGCUUCCCACUGGAAGAGCUGACAUGGAGCCAGCUGGCAAAGCUGGAAUACGGUUUGCAGAGCUCAGCUCCAGCAUGAGGCUGAGAACAGAAGAGUAGGUUUGGAGCUGAAAGACACUUACUAGCCAUGAGUCCUGACACUUUCAGAGUUGGAGUUCUGGAAAUGAGAAGAGGCGAGGGGAGCAGGAAAGCUCUUGCCUGAUUGGCCUGGGCAUGGUGAUGUGGCGUCUGCUCUCUCUGGACUUGGCAGACGUUGAAAGCUGACUCUCACAGGCUCUUUUUGAUGAUCUUAACUCACAAUCACUGAGGAUCUCUUCCCUGAAGUUUGCUUCACAGGACAAAUGCUCUCUAUUCCAGCCACUCACUCACUCACUCAUUCCUUCCUCGGCCUCUAUGAAUGUGCUGAUACCUCAAGCUUCUCCCUGAGAAGACCUGUUUAUUCCU